ACAAAUACUUGGCGCCGGGAUCAGGGUGAUCACGAAUGCCCUGGCCCCAGGUAGAGGCUCGCCAUUGCACUCCGGCGUGUUGAAGCCUGCGACGAUCACUAAUCGGGCUCGCUCCACUGCUAGC
rnacentral:snRNA from 11 species